rnacentral:misc_RNA from 1 species
UCCUGCUUAUCACAGGCAGUCUGAUUAGAGUGCUUCGCUUGCGCGUGUAGCAACUAAUCACAAGGGUUGCGCUCGUUGCAGGACUUAACCUAACACCUCACGGCACGAGCUGACGACAGCCAUGCAGCACCUGUGUAACACCCUCGAAGGAAACCGGCUUUCACCGGUCGUGCAGUUACAUGUCAAGCCCAGGUAAGGUUCUUCGCGUUGCAUCGAAUUAAGCCACAUGCUCCACCGCUUGUGCGGGCCCCCGUCAAUUUCUUUGAGUUUUAGCCUUGCGGCCGUACUCCCCAGGCGGUGAACUUAUCGCGUUAGCUACGGCACGGAAGGGGAUAAUUCCUCCCACACCAAGUUCACACCGUUUACGGCUAGGACUAC